GUAAUGCACAAGAAGAAAAACAUUUGCUCCCACCCAUUUGAUUAGAAUUGUGUCACACGGAUCCACCAAGCUUCAAGAGGCAUGGAAAGUUAGGUCAGAUGAAAGUGAGAUCCAUACAUCCUUCUUCAGCAACUUGUGCCUCUGCUCUGCACCUCCCGCAAUUAACUACUGAAAAAAGAACACAGCUUCACAAAAGAGAUUGUAAAAUCAGGAAGUAUAUCUAAGUCACCUCCAGUAGCCGUAACUCUACCUUGUCCAGUAAAAGGGACAGGACCUCUAUAUGUUGCUCAGGCUGGAGUGUGGCAGCUAUUCACGGAUGUGAUUAUAGUACACUACAGCCUCAACUCCUGGGCUCAAGCAAAGCUUCCCAAAUCGGUGGGACUAUAGGCACACGCCACUGUGCUGUUCAAUAAUAAGAUUUCUGUCUAACACCACUGCGCCUGUUUCCUUGAUAAAUAUUUAUUAUCUGUGUUUAUUUAUUUUAUCCUGGGAGAACAUACAAGAUUUCGGGGUCAGAGAACAGACUGAUUGUUUUAUGUACAGCAAUAACAGCACUGGCUCCCCACUCCCUAUUUCUCCUUUGAAGCCGUGCUGUGAAGGUAGAUGUCAGCCUGCACAUGCAAAGGGGUCGCUGCAUAAGACGAAUCCUGAAAUUGUGUAACUGGGAGUUUAUAUGAAGUGCCUCUCAGCAGCCCCGCCAACCCUCCUCCCUCUAGAGAGGGGAAGAGAAGUCAUCACUGUCUAAUGUGAAGGAAUUCUCUCUGGGAAGGGAGGAGACGGUCCCUAAAUUGUUACAACCCUUUGAAAUGUAAAGGAAGCCUCUGGAUUGUUUCUCAUUCUUUUAAAUGUAAAUAAAUGGCAAAUGGCUCUCAAGGCGAUCAAUUUUUAACUCUAUCUGGA
rnacentral:lncRNA from 10 species